GAUGAACGCUGGCGGCGUGCCUAAUACAUGCAAGUCGAGCGAACGGACGAGAAGCUUGCUUCUCUGAUGUUAGCGGCGGACGGGUGAGUAACACGUGGAUAACCUACCUAUAAGACUGGGAUAACUUCGGGAAACCGGAGCUAAUACCGGAUAAUAUUUUGAACCGCAUGGUUCAAAAGUGAAAGACGGUCUUGCUGUCACUUAUAGAUGGAUCCGCGCUGCAUUAGCUAGUUGGUAAGGUAACGGCUUACCAAGGCAACGAUGCAUAGCCGACCUGAGAGGGUGAUCGGCCACACUGGAACUGAGACACGGUCCAGACUCCUACGGGAGGCAGCAGUAGGGAAUCUUCCGCAAUGGGCGAAAGCCUGACGGAGCAACGCCGCGUGAGUGAUGAAGGUCUUCGGAUCGUAAAACUCUGUUAUUAGGGAAGAACAUAUGUGUAAGUAACUGUGCACAUCUUGACGGUACCUAAUCAGAAAGCCACGGCUAACUACGUGCCAGCAGCCGCGGUAAUACGUAGGUGGCAAGCGUUAUCCGGAAUUAUUGGGCGUAAAGCGCGCGUAGGCGGUUUUUUAAGUCUGAUGUGAAAGCCCACGGCUCAACCGUGGAGGGUCAUUGGAAACUGGAAAACUUGAGUGCAGAAGAGGAAAGUGGAAUUCCAUGUGUAGCGGUGAAAUGCGCAGAGAUAUGGAGGAACACCAGUGGCGAAGGCGACUUUCUGGUCUGUAACUGACGCUGAUGUGCGAAAGCGUGGGGAUCAAACAGGAUUAGAUACCCUGGUAGUCCACGCCGUGAACGAUGAGUGCUAAGUGUUAGGGGGUUUCCGCCCCUUAGUGCUGCAGCUAACGCAUUAAGCACUCCGCCUGGGGAGUACGACCGCAAGGUUGAAACUCAAAGGAAUUGACGGGGACCCGCACAAGCGGUGGAGCAUGUGGUUUAAUUCGAAGCAACGCGAAGAACCUUACCAAAUCUUGACAUCCUCUGACCCCUCUAGAGAUAGAGUUUUCCCCUUCGGGGGACAGAGUGACAGGUGGUGCAUGGUUGUCGUCAGCUCGUGUCGUGAGAUGUUGGGUUAAGUCCCGCAACGAGCGCAACCCUUAAGCUUAGUUGCCAUCAUUAAGUUGGGCACUCUAAGUUGACUGCCGGUGACAAACCGGAGGAAGGUGGGGAUGACGUCAAAUCAUCAUGCCCCUUAUGAUUUGGGCUACACACGUGCUACAAUGGACAAUACAAAGGGUAGCGAAACCGCGAGGUCAAGCAAAUCCCAUAAAGUUGUUCUCAGUUCGGAUUGUAGUCUGCAACUCGACUACAUGAAGCUGGAAUCGCUAGUAAUCGUAGAUCAGCAUGCUACGGUGAAUACGUUCCCGGGUCU
rnacentral:rRNA from 1 species